UAAGAGUUAAUAAAGUUGCUAAGUGUUGAAGAAUGAUGGAUUAUAUACUCCCCCUUCAAUCUGUUUGAUGAAUAAUGGUAGCUUCGAAAAAAAGAGGAGAAGAAAAGGUUGGAAUGUUGAAAAAAGGGAGGAGACAAAUAAAAAAAAUUAGUCUUGAGAUAAGAAAAAUCAAAAAAAUCAAAAAUUUGAAUGAACGAGCAUAAUGGCUCGGAGUAGUAGUUUGAAUAGGGAUAGAGG
rnacentral:lncRNA from 1 species